rnacentral:rRNA from 1 species
UACGAAGGGGGCUAGCGUUGCUCGGAAUCACUGGGCGUAAAGCGCACGUAGGCGGCUUCUUAAGUCAGGGGUGAAAUCCUGGAGCUCAACUCCAGAACUGCCUUUGAUACUGAGGAGCUUGAGUCCGGGAGAGGUGAGUGGAACUGCGAGUGUAGAGGUGAAAUUCGUAGAUAUUCGCAAGAACACCAGUGGCGAAGGCGGCGCACUGGCCCGGUACUGACGCUGAGGUGCGAAAGCGUGGGGAGCAAACAGG